AACGUAGGAGACAAACGUUAUCCAGAUUUACUGGGCGUAAAGCGCGUGUAGGCGGCUGGUUAGGUGUGAUGUGAAAUCUUCGGGCUCAACCCGAAAACUGCAUUGCAAACCGGCCUGGCUAGAGUGCAGGAGAGGGAAGCGGAAUUCCAGGUGUAGCGGUGAAAUGCGUAGAUAUCUGGAAGAACACCAGUGGCGAAGGCGGCUUCCUGGCCUGUAACUGACGCUGAGACGCGAAAGCGUGGGGAGCGAACCGG
rnacentral:rRNA from 1 species